UGCCCACAGCCAAAUCCAAUGAGAUCACGUCUGAUUUUAUCUCGGCAGGUGGGAGCCCAUGAUUAGCAUGUUCCACUGAUCUCCUUUCACUCUUAGCUUUUUUUUUAUUUAAAAAAAUUGCCUUCUUUAAGCCGAAACAGCUCACAACUAAGCUUUGGUCCUUGUAAUUAUUAAUGUAGAUUAGAGUCCUCCCCGUAUCUCUGGACUCUGAAGGGGAAGGGAGAAAAUAAUAUUAUGAAGCCCUCUAAUCUGAAUCACUCCCGUUGUAGAUGGAAAGGUUGAGGGAAAUCUAUUUAAGCAGCACCCGAUCUGGGAGGAACGACCUUCAGCGCAGCCUGUAAGGACAAACCGGCACAUGAAACGUCUGCUGAAGAAAGGGAGGACGUUGUUUGAUGGUGCCUUGGCUGGAAGUUCCCCAGUGCCUGUUCAUCACCACAUCCGCCUACAGAUUCCCAGAAUAAAACAUGGGAGUGUAUGGCUGGCCUGUGAUCUGGAUCGUGGAUCCCCUUACCCCAAAAUUUCUCAUCAAGACUGACUCAAGCAACAGGAAGAUCACAAAGCCUUCAACAAAGCCAAAGAACUAUGUGAAUUAUUAAUCAAUUGUAAUUAACAUGUGACUCAAGUAAGACGAGAACUAACAUGUGCAUUCAGAUACAAAAACCGAGAGGGCCACAAAGAUGAAAAUAGGACAACACUGCAUUCUAAGAUAGAACUAGGAAUACAUUUCUAUGCCACAUAAUCCUGUUACGUUUCCAGAUAAUGCUUUCUCCUUCUUCUUUUUAAAAAGAUCAUCUUGACCUCAGAACAACACAACAAAUUUGCCUGGAUGAUCAGUACUCAUAACAACUCUUGUUCAAUUUGUCCUCAUUCUCCCCCUCACCCUGGAUGCUCUAUUCACUUUCGGCUAAAAUUAGACACAGCAAGCAAUAUUCUAUCACUUUUCCUUUUGUGCAUCUAAAAAUAUUAUUUUGCUAGCUCCCCUUUGCUCCUCUGAAUUUAUUUUAAAAAUGAAGUGGUCAGAAGGCAAUGGGGUGGAAGAGGUAUCUUGAAGGCAGAGGUGGGCAGAGGAUACCCCUCCAAAUCUCAUUGGCCUGAGUGAUGGAACAGCGUUGCCCACAAUACGGGGGAGGCUGCAAUAAAGUGACUGUGUGGUGGAUGGUUGUUCCCUUG
rnacentral:lncRNA from 1 species